GUUGGUGUAGCUCAGUGAUGGAGUGAGUGCUUUGUAUGUAUGAUGUUCUGGGUUCAAUCCCCAGGGUGCAUA